ensembl:miRNA
GUGAGCGAGAGGCCAGGGCACGGCAGGCGGAGCUGCGGGGCGGUCAGAGGGGCCCCAGUGUCUGAGCCCUGUCCUCCUGCAGG